rnacentral:lncRNA from 1 species
CCACCAGUCUCUACUCCACCAGCUCCACACCACCAGCCCCACCCCACCAGUCUCCACUCCACCAGUCUCCCACCAGCUCCACACCACAACUCUCCACUCCACCAGUCUCCACUCCAACAGCUCCACUCCACCAGUCUCCACUCCACCAGUCUCCACUCCACCAGUCUCCACUCCACCAGUCUCCCACCAGUCUCCACUCCACCAGUCUCCCACCAGCUCCACACCACCACUCUCCACUCCACCAGUCUCCACUCCAGCAGCUCCACUCCACCAGUCUCCACUCCAUCAGUCUCCACUCCACCAGUCUCCACUCCAGCAAUCUCCACUCCAACAGCUCCACUCCACCAGUCUCCACUCCACCAGUCUCCACUCCACCAGUCUCCACUCCACCAGUCUCCCACCAGCUCCACUCCACCAUUCUCCCAAUCGCUCUUUAUCCUCCAAGUAGCAUUGACCUCUGAGGUGUCAGAAAUAUGGACACGCUUUCAGAUGACGGAGACUUUGCCAGUCCUUCCUUUCUCCUUGGCCCCUCUCUUAAGCCUGCAUGGGACUCUUGUCUGCUCUGUCUGCAGAGUAAGGUAUUGUAGGAGCCUGUGAAUAGUAGGUGUCAAACUUCAUAGUUCUCAUUUUGCUUCCUGUACAUGCCAGAAGAAAAGUUCUCUCCGUGCUGGUUUUCCCUUUGUGCCGGCGCUCUCUAGUCCUCCUGGGAACAGACCACAUUCCAGCCACAAUCAGACUCUUUGUGCCUGAGGCAUUGUACCCUUCUCUGUUACGCCGACAGCCCUCCUAGCUUCUUUACUAAUGUAUGCAAGCAUAUCAUAAAAAGUCUAGACUAUUAUUAUUUAUAAUUUUUUUUGCUACUAUUCCCGGACAAUGGGUAUGAGAAUGAGAAUAUCUGAUGCGUUGUUUUCUGGGAUGCUACUGCUUUAGUAUGUAUUCAUAAAAGUACCUUUGUGCAUCGUGCAUAACUUAUGGUUUAAGGUUGCGCCUUAUUCAUCACACUGUCUGUGUGUGGGGUGGACCAUUUCAGAUUGUCAGUGAUUUGUACGCCGAGGAACUUGAAGCUUUUCACCUUCUCCACUGUGGUCCCGUUGAUGUUGCAACCAGGAGGAAUGCACUUCUGUCUACUCUUGGGCCCACUGAGAGACCUCAGAACAAUCGCUGAUGGCUCAGUGUCGCGGUCCAACCACAGUUGCGAUUGAUGUUUAAACUCAACUAUACAUACCGGUAUGAACAUCAUUGUUUUUAGCCGGAUGGACCAAAAGAUGCUAACUUCCUUGUUUCUCCACUUGGACCACUAGGAGACAACAGAACAACCAAUCAGGGUUCGGUGUGUCUCCACUUGGACCACUAAGAGACUACAGAACAACCAAUCAGGGUUCUGUGUGUCUCCACUUGGACCACUAGGAGACAACAGAACAACCAAUCAGGGUUCGGUGUGUCUCCACUUGGACCACUAAGAGACAACAGAACAACCAAUCAGGGUUCUGUGUGUCUCCACUUGGACCACUAAGAGACUACAGAACAACCAAUCAGGGUUCUGUGUGUCUCCACUUGGACCACUAAGAGACUACAGAACAACCAAUCAGGGUUCUGUGUGUCUCCACUUGGACCACUAAGAGACUACAGAACAACCAAUCAGGGUUCUGUGUGUCUCCACUUGGACCACUAAGACACUACAGAACAACCAAUCAGGGUUCUGUGUGUCUCCACUUGGACCACUAAGACACUACAGAACAACCGUUCAGGAUCCCGGUAGCCUGGCUACCCAUCCACAUCGCUCCAACCAGGAGCCACGCCCAUUGAGCAUUUCUUCUCGGCUGGUCAAUUUGUUUUGUACAACGCCCCUCAUUUUGACGUCAGCACAAACAACUUCUAGUAUUGCCAUUUUAAACUGAAUGUAUGGAGCGAUCGAUAAUCGAUAGAGCAGCGUAAUUCAAUUCAGGAUGAGCUGUUUUUCUUUAUUUUAUAUUUUUUAUGACAUUUUUUUUAUUGUUUACUUCAGUUUAUUUUAGUAAAUACUUUUUUAACAGUUAUGUUUCCUUUAAACUGAAUUGUUGGUUAUUAUUAAGGGCUUGUAACUCAGCAUUUCACUGUAAGGUCUACUACACCUGUUAUAUUCAGCAUUUCACUGUGAGGUCUACUACACCUGUUGUAUUCAGCAUUUCACUGUGAGGUCUACUACACCUGUUGUAUUCAGCAUUUCACUGUAAGGUCUACUACAUCUGUUGUAUUCAGCAUUUCACUGUAAGGUCUACUACACCUGUUGUAUUCAGCAUUUCACUGUGAGGUCUACUACACCUGUUGUAUUCAGCAUUUCACUGUAAGGUCUACUACACCUGUUGUAUUCAGCAUUUCACUGUGAGGUCUACUACACCUGUUGUAUUCAGCAUUUCACUGUACGGUCUACUACACCUGUUGUAUUCAGCAUUUCACUGUGAGGUCUACUACACCUGUUGUGUUCGGUGCAUGUGACAAAUACAAUUUGAUUUGAUUUUCGUUGUCAGGCGAGUGUCCUGGACCAACAAUAGAACAACUACUCUGUGUGUCCCAGGAUAUAGUGCACUAUGUUAGACUAUGGGCCCUGGUCAAAAAUAGUGCACUACCAAGGGAAUAGUAUGCCAUUUUGGAUGCAACCUGUAAUUGAUCUGUCUUCACUCAACUAAAUAUAUGUAUUUUUUUUUAUCCAGGAUUCAUAAACCACAUGUCCAAUAAUGUACUGUUUAUCCCUGUCAGACAACUUAUAAACCAUGUCCAAUAAUGUACUAUUUUCACUGCUACUUGCUUGAUUAAAUGACUUCAAAUCUUUCAGCAUUUGUUAAACCUUAACAUGUGGGGAAGAAUAGCAAACAUGUGUUAGUGCUUUGACAGGGUUUUAGUUGUACUUUGUUAGGACACAAUGUUCAAUUUAGCACAAACAACGUCUGCCAAACAAUGUUUUUUUUUUUUUUUUUUUUUAAAUCUUUUUGAAAAUCCCCAUCUCAGUAUCUGAAAGGAUUUAGGCCUAGCCUUUUCUUUUUCUCCCCAGAACACUGAUCCAUUACAUCAGGCUGGGAGAAAUGUCUUGAUGUUUUGAUUGAACAGUUCAAAAUGCUUUCAAUCAGUACUGACAGCCUACCGUUUCCAAAAAACAUCACUGUAACAUCUCUGUCUCUACAGACAACAUCUCUGUCUAGACCUAGUCUACUAACUACUCUAUAGGCAACAUCUCUGUCUAGACCUAGUCUACUAACUACUCUAUAGGCAACAUCUCAGUCUAGACCUAGUCUACUAACUACUCUAUAGGCAAGCACCGCUCUGUGGCAGAGAACCUUUACCAUAUUUGAUGUUUUGUCACUGCUGCUAAUACCAAAAACAGAUCUGGCCUGCUUUGUUUUGAUGUCUCCUCCCUCUCUCUCGCUCUCACACUGUCCCUCCAGUCUGUUAUUGUGUCAUGAACCAUCGCCCCUACCUCUCCUGUCUCCCCCUCAACCUCCUCCUGAAAGUACUCUGUUAUGCUCAGCUCUGUGGGAAUAGUUAAGGUUAAUUAGAUAGGGCAACCGGAAAUAAGGACCAAUAUCUCUUCAACCUUUCUUUCUCUCUCCACUUCUCUCUCCUCUUCCCUCUCCCUUUCUCUCCUCUUCCCUCUACUCUUC